rnacentral:lncRNA from 1 species
GCCAAACAACCAUAAUAGGUGGUGGUGGGAGAGGACGGGUCAAAGAAAUUCCAAAAAAGGAUGCAAGUGUCACAUCUCCUCGCCAAUGCUCAACUCGGAAUAGUCCUCCCAUAUGAAAGAAGGAGAUCAUGCGGUAGACCCUCCAAAUAAUACGUCUGGCCACGAUACGAAUGCCUCUAUGCUUCGCAUCAUUCCUCUCAGUCCAUAGAAACCAAAAUACCAAUAGAGGAAUGAUAAUACGAAUGUG